UGACAGCUGUUGUUCCAUAUUGUGUCGUCAUUACAACUUUGACCGCCAUUUACAGCCGAACACUUCUGAAAGACCCCUUACGUGCAUCAUGAAGCGUCUUGUGUGUCUGUUUCUUAUCAUCAUGUUGUCAGAGGUGGUGGUGAAGGGCCUUUCCAACCAAGGGAGGAAUGAUCUGGACCCAUGUGUCCUUCACGGGGAGGGUUACUGCCAGUACCGGUGCCGUCAGCAGCAGUUGAGCGGCUUCUGUAACGAGGACAACCGCUGCAUCUGCUACUACGACCCCAACAACUUCUUCUGAGAUAGCAGGUGACUGUGGAGAGGCGCCACCUAGCAGUCGGCGUACGAAGUUCAGCCUAUGAAAGUUUCUUCGAUUCCACACAAUAAAAGAACUUUCAGGA